GUGCUCGCUUCGGUAGCACAUAUACUAAAAUUAGAACAAUACAGAGAAGAUUAGCAUGGCCCCUGCACAAGGAUGACAAGCAAAUUCAUGAAGCGUUCCGUAUUUUU
rnacentral:snRNA from 1 species